rnacentral:rRNA from 1 species
UUUUUAUGGAGAGUUUGAUCCUGGCUCAGGAUGAACGCUGGCGGCGUGCUUAACACAUGCAAGUCGAACGGUGAAGCCAAGCUUGCUUGGUGGAUCAGUGGCG